ACAGGAAGGUACAAUAGUCUGGAUCUACAAUGUCUCCCAGUGGCUCAUGAGACGAUGUCUUGGUCUCCAGUCUAUGGCAUUAUUGAAGGAUGUUGUAGGGCCUAAUGACACCAUGAGAUAAACAACUUUGCUCCACCACAAACUCUUCUCCAUGAUGUGCUGACUCUCCACAGGCCCAGAAGUAAUGGGGCCAAGUGAUAAUGGACUGAAACCUUCAAAUCUUUUGCCCAGUAUAAACCUUUCUUCUUUA